GGCUCCACAGUUUUUGUUUCCCAAGGUUAAAAAUAAACAGGUUUAAAGGUUGAGAAAUAUACACAACUUCUCAAUCUAUCAAGACUACCUCUGUUGACGUUUAUUACAGACAAAAAAUAAAUAGUAGAGGAAUGUAAAUAUAGAGGAUUUAUAGAUUGAGACUUAAAUGACUCCCUGUGACUGAGAUUCUCAAGGAUGAGUGAAUUGCAGUGUGGUCCUACCCUCUUCCUGGUUGUCCAUGUCAUCAAGGUUGCUUUCGCUGUCGGCGUCGUAGCCCUCCUCCUCCUCCUCUUCUUCCCCAGGGGGCUUGACGCUGCAGCUCGCAACGCCGUCCACCUCCUCUGAUAGAUCGCCUGUCGGAGCUGCCCCCUCUACCAGCACUUGGAACUUCUGAUAGAAAGACGAACAAAUUCAGCUGGAUCAUUGGGACGCUCUGCAUGACUCACUGAGAGAGCACAACAUGCUUCAGCAUUGGGUAAAAUCUAUUUUAUAAAAGCAUGAGCCAUCCUGUGUUGGAACAAGCAUUUUUGUUGAGGAGAAUCAAAACUUGAUCAAUGGAAAAAUGAAGUCAUGCGAUUAUCUUGUAUUGUUAUUUUCUCUAGUGUCUAAUUUCGCUACUAUAUAAAACUACAUGAGUUGAUAGGAUAAGAAAAAUGCAUAAUGUCACUUACAGCAUCUCCAAAGGCAGGACUCACCCUGUCUGGUUUCUCCUCAGGGGGAUCGGGAGUGGAUGACACGUCGGCCAAAGCUACUCUCAGCAGAGAAUCAAAGAGUGGCACGGCGAGGUCAGAGUUGACCACCCCCGAGCAAGAAAGCUGCUCUUUGAUUUCUAACAAGGUAUCUCCCACUGACUUGGGCUACAGAGAAGACAUAAUACCAUACAUGAGACACUCGCUAUGACCAGAAUAUUUGUAUUUUGUGGUUGAUAGCUGAAGAUGCAUACCUGAGAAGAAAGCUCCAAGUCCGUCCUCUGCAGGGCUGAGUUGGCACUGUUUAGACAAAUCGCCAAUAAGGCCUCAAGAAGGCGAAUACUUUCUAACUGCCACUCUUCCUCCAGCCUCUUGGCUGGAUCUUUGCUUUUCCCCUCAGCUGGAGUACUCUUAAUUGAACCUUGACCUUGCUCAUCUACUCCAACGGUGGAGUCUGGGCUACGUUUGACUUUGAGCUCCUUUUUCUUUGCUUUGCCAUCCUUGGAUUUACAGGAAAGCUUCUGAAUAACCAUGCUCAUGAGGCGCAAACAAACAUCCAAGCCUCCAAGUCUGAAGAAUUGCCUCUGGAACAAAGGAUUGGCCUGGUAGACACAUCGACACACUGACCAAAUGUCAGCUGCCCGUCGGAUCUGUUCUUUGGACGGUAGGGUCACACUGUCUGGGGACAGGUAUACCAAGCGCCCACCAAGAGGCUCACUAGCUGUACUGUCAUAGCCCGAAGUAUCUUCCGAAUCAUUAGCAGAGUCCCGGUCAGAGUCGGCGUCUUUGCUAACACACAGAAACGCAACACAGAGGAAGAGGUUAAUGACAUGGAGGUGCGUCUCUGCUUGGCAACGACCUGCUCCACGGCCCUGCCCGCUACGACUUUUGUGGCGUGGGUAUGCCUCCUUUAGCACUUCAUAGAACUUGCUGAGGCUCUGAGGACCCUCUCCAGAUCCCCUAGAGCCCGAAUCCUCAGCCAGGUUCGAGAUUGUCGGCUUCUUUUCCGCAACAGCUAUCUCCAACUCUUGGAGCGCGCUGUCAGCUUGCUGGUGUCCGAAGCUGGUUAUCAGAAUCUCAAAUACUUUCAAAGCUAAAGAGCACGUCUGGUCAAGGUACACUAGUUCUGUCAUCUGGUUGAGGCCAUUGCAGCUGAUGAAAAGAUCUCGGAUGACCCUGUGAUGGAAAUAUUUGUCAGUAUUAAUUCAUCAAUCCAUCAAUCAAUCAAUCAAUAAGAUGACAGGUGUAGCAGUGCUUCAGUUCCUAGAGUGCAAAACCUUUUUAUCUAAACAAAUAGUCAUCCCAAUGGAAUGUUUCCUUUUUAAUGUUUACUGUUUACUAAUGUUUUUCAAGAUCAUGUCACAUGUAGCAUCUCCUGCAGCUCUAUUUAAAAAAUAAUUGUUGCAUUAAUUGUGAGACAUGGUUCAAAAUUAUUACCGGAUAAACACUACUGUUUUCUUGUAAUUUGUCUGGGUUUUGAAUUAUAACGCAUGCCAAAGACAAAAUCGGUAUAACCAGGCAGUGAUGAAUGAAAAAUUCUGUUUCAUGGUUAAUUCAACUAAAAAUGUGUUCACCCAUCAGUAAGGUUUCCGGCUACAUUGGUUCGAGCCUAAAUGCAUUUUUAAACUGUUUCCUUUCUAAAGUUACUUUUGAGUUACCAUAUUCUUUUAUGAACAUACACUGUACCAAUACAGAACUCUUAUCGAAAACAUCUAAACAAAGUCAAACUGUCGAGUGUAUGUUACUAUGCAGCUUUAGAAAACUGCAGCCUUUUCCAGAUCUCCAACGCUGUACCCUUGUCACAAAACCUAACAAUAGUAUCCCAGGUCACUUGUUAUCCACAAAGCCUUGCUAAAUUAUUGAUUAGCAUCAAUUAGCAAUGACAAGGUUGGACCGAUCUAAUGACAAUGGGAUGGAUUUAAUAAUCAGGCAAUCAUGAAAAAAAAUAUAUAUAUAUUUUUUUAUAUGUAUGUUAUAUAAUCAAUACCAAGCAUCCUUUUUAUCCUUAAAACUGAUAAUUAACAGAUUUUUCAGAUAAUCAUCUUCUCACUAUUACUCAAAGCACCUAACGCCUUUAAGUAGUACUGAAGAGAAUAAUAUGAACAGAGGGAACAAAUCGGAUAACUUACCUGGAUUUGAGAAGGGCGGGUAAUGCUUGCAGAUAUACGAGUAGAAUCUCGAUGGGCAGGCACUGUGUGUGAUAGCCGCAGACUUUGGUACAAACUGUAGAUACUCCAAGCUGUUGGGCAUGGUGGGCUAGCUCGACCCCUCGCUGUAGAACAGGGUUGAAGAUAUGUGUGUAGAGCUGCCACUGCACGACAGCAUUGCCACGCAGUGUCAAGUGGCACACGUGACCAGCGACAUGCUGGCUCAGGUGCCAGUCGUCUCCAAACACGAGCUCUUGGUAAGCCUCGAGGGCAUCCCACUUCCAUAGCAUGUCCUCUGCGCUGCCUCCACUUGGCAGAAUCCCCUGGGAGCGGUAGCAUAGGCUGGUAGAAAUAGCCGAAAGUUCCCCAUGUUGUAGCGUCUCCUCCAGGCCUGGCAACUGACUGUGGUCCAAAGUGCAAAUGUUACAUGAAGCAAGCUUCGCUCUCUCCGAGGGCUGUCCUCCGCCAAGCUGGUCUAGUACUAGUCUGCCGAGAACACUGAGAACAUGAGACUGAUAACUACGAAGACCUGGCGCUUGGAAGGCGUACAGGAGUGGCCGUAUCACGGAACGAGGGUCCAUGCAACAGCAGAUUCCAACAGCCUGCACCCCGGCCAGUACUUGCAAUAUGGCCGGUCCACUGGACGACAAGCGUUGCAGGAGCCGCAGACAUUGGUGAGCACAGGCGGCCAGGCAGCAGCAGCGUUCGGGGUAACGCACUGCAUCGCCCCCCAUUCCUUCUUUCCCAUCGCCGUCCUCCUCAAAGGGGUUCCGCCUGGCAGCCAACUUAAAAGCGGAGACAGGCAAACCCGACAGGUCUCUGUGAUGAUGAAGGAAGUGGGAAUAUUCACAACGUCGGUGACGACGUCGAGCGCACACAGACUGAUGUAGCUGCUCUGACUUUGCUUUCUUCACUGCACUUACAAUCUUGAAGACCCCGGCAAUUAAACCUCGUAGCCUAUCUGAAGCCUCGCCUCCUACUUCUGAAUCCCUCGCCAUCCCAAGUUCCUCUAGACGCAGUACUGU